rnacentral:rRNA from 1 species
UACGUAGGGUGCGAGCGUUGUCCGGAAUUAUUGGGCGUAAAGAGCUUGUAGGCGGUUUGUCGCGUCUGCUGUGAAAUUCCAGGGCUUAACCCUGGGCUUGCAGUGGGUACGGGCAGACUAGAGUGUGGUAGGGGAGACUGGAAUUCCUGGUGUAGCGGUGAAAUGCGCAGAUAUCAGGAGGAACACCGAUGGCGAAGGCAGCUCACUGGGACGGUACUGACGCUGAGACGCGAAAGCGUGGGGAGCAAACAGG